rnacentral:rRNA from 1 species
GAUGAACGCUAGCUACAGGCUUAACACAUGCAAGUCGAGGGGAAACGACAUCGAAAGCUUGCUUUUGAUGGGCGUCGACCGGCGCACGGGUGAGUAACGCGUAUCCAACCUGCCCAUCACUUGGGAAUAACCUUGCGAAAGUAAGACUAAUACCCAAUGAUAUCCCACGAAGGCAUCGGAAUGGGAUUAAAGAUUUAUCGGUGAUGGAUGGGGAUGCGUCUGAUUAGCUUGUUGGCGGGGUAACGGCCCACCAAGGCAACGAUCAGUAGGGGUUCUGAGAGGAAGGUCCCCCACAUUGGAACUGAGACACGGUCCAAACUCCUACGGGAGGCAGCAGUGAGGAAUAUUGGUCAAUGGGCGAGAGCCUGAACCAGCCAAGUAGCGCGCAGGAAGACGGCCCUAUGGGUUGUAAACUGCUUUUAGAAGGGAAUAAAGUGGGUCACGUGUGACUUUUUGCAUGUACCUUAUGAAUAAGGACCGGCUAAUUCCGUG